GUCUUUUUAGGGCUGCACCCAUGGCAUAUGGAGGUUCCCAGGCUGGGAGUCCAAUCAGAGCUGUAGCUGCCAGCCAAUGCUAGAGUCACAGCAACUUGGAAUCCAAGCCAUGUCUGUGACCUACACCACAGCUCACAGCAACCCCAGAUGCUUAACCCUCAGAGCAAGGCCAGGGAUCAAACCUGAGUCCUCAUGGAUGCUAGUUGGGUUCAUUAACUGAUGAGCCACAACAGGAACUCCUCAAACUAAUUUCAAAUAUUAGAUGAUGAAAUUUAUUUUUUUAAGUGAAUCAAGGAGUUCCUAUCAUGGCUCAGUGGAAAUGAAUCUGACUAGUAUCCAUGAGGAUGCUGGUUCAAUCCCUGGCCUCACUCAGUGGGUUAAGGAUCCAGCAUUGCCAUGAGCUGUGGUAUAGGUCGCAGAUGCAUCUUGGCUCUGGCAUUGCUGUGGUUGUGGUGUAGGCCAGCAGCUAUAGCUCCCCUGAGUGACACCUUCAAAUUAAGGACUGUAGGAGCUCAAAUGAUGUAGACGCCAUAGGCAAUGCCUCUUUAUUCACUAGAGACGCAUUCAAAUACGUCAAAUAUGAGUCAAGCAGGACAUGUUCCAAAUGCUACAUUUUAAGAUUUAAUUCAUGCUGAAAAAGACCACACUGUUAGCAAUGUGACUCAAGGGCCACUGAAAAUAAGGGCAAUUAAUCCCACUACUUUUGCACAGUAAAAGCUCACCCACUGUUUAUGAACAAAGUGUCUGGCGGCAAUUUGGGACUACAAAAUGGACGUUAACAAAGUCUCCAAAAACAGAGGUCUAUAAGUGAAAAAGUACCAACACUGUCAAGCGAUAUUUCAGAGGAGUUCCCAUGUCGUUCUCUGGCCACCAAAAUUACAUGCAUAUCUUGAAAAAUAUCAAGAGAAAUUCGGUUUGUACUUAUAAUCUGCGUCAGCCCAUGAAUUAGAGCUGGUUCAAUCUCCCCAAAAUAGCUGCCCUUUAAUUGCUCACUCAUGGAACAGAUUUCACUCCAAAAAUAAAAAUCUUAUCUGUCUGUUGGUCCCUUGAAGCUCUACCCUGUUACUGCAGCAGAGUGGGCCUUGAAGUCCGUCUGACAGAACUGCAAUCGUUUGGAAAAGUUAUUCAGCAAAAGGUAGUAAAAUCUAUGAGCACAGAUCUCUUCGUCCCGUCAGGCCCACUUUGAGGAACCUACCACACAGAAAUAAAACAUUGCUACACAUGAACCUAUGCAACUGCGUGCUCAUUGAAGCUUUCUUUUAAUUACAAUAGUCCAGCAAUGGUUUGGAUAUUCACGACAUAGCAAAUGACAAAUUAACUGUUAUAUCAAGUGUCAUCAAAACGUAUUUAUCUGAAAAACAAAGGCAACAGUACAUUAUCAAAAGAGAGAGACCCCUGAUAUCUUUGCAAACUUGAACUCAACAAGUUAAACAUAUUCAGAUCAAGAAAUGUAAACUCUUUUCACCUGUUUCUCUCUGAAUACAAAGAAAGUUCAGUCUGAUCAUGACCAAAUGUUCCCAACACUGUCAGAAGGUGUGUAAGUCCACUUUUCUUCGCCAUAACUUCAUCAAAGCUCUCUUCAGCUCACUGUUCCUCAAGCUGUAGAUCAGGGGGUUCAGCAGAGGUGUGAGAAGUGAGUAAGCCAAGGACAGGAUCUUCUUUGUGUCUGGGGAGUAGCCAGAUUUGGGCUGUAAGUAAGUCAUACUGGCUGUGCCAUAGAAGAGGGUAACAGACGUCAGAUGGGAGCCACAGGUGGAAAAGGCCUUCUGCCUCCCUGUGGUGGGUGGCAUCUUCAGGAUGGCAAGGAGGAUUCGAAGGUAAGACAGGAGUAUCAACAAGAAAGGAACCAUGACAAUCAAAACAGUGCCGGUGAACGCAUAGACUUCAAACAAAAAUGUGUCUGCACACGCAAGCUCCAGCAUAGCUGGGGUUUCACAAGAAAGGUGAUUAAUUUCAUUGGGGCCACAAAAGGGAAAACUAAAAACCCACGACGUUGGCACAGUAGCCACCAUAAUCCCUGAGACCCAUGAAAACACCACUAACUUCACGAAAACCCUUUGGUUCAUGAGCACUGGGUAGCUCAGAGGAUGGCAGAUUGCAGCAAAUCGGUCAUAAGCCAUUGCCCCCAGGAGAAAACAUUCAGUGCCACCAAAAAGAAGAAUGAAAUACAUCUGUGCGAAACAUCUCACAAAUGAAAUCGAUGUUUUCUCAGUGGAGAGGACCACCAGCAUUUCAGGCAUAACGACGGCACUGAAACUCACUUCCACCACAGACAAGUUCAGGAGGAACAGGUACAUGGGGA
rnacentral:lncRNA from 1 species